ensembl:rRNA 5S_rRNA 5S ribosomal RNA
GCCUAUGGCCAUACCACCCUGAACAGGCCUGAUCCCAUCAGAUCUCAGAAGCUAGGCAGGUUUGGGCCUAUUUAGUACUUGGAUGUGAGAAAAUAGGAUGGUGGUUGCCAGGGGCU